rnacentral:rRNA from 1 species
GGGCUUGACAUCCCACGAACCUGCUAGAGAUAGCGGGGUGCCCUUCGGGGAACUUGGUGACAGGUGCUGCAUGGCUGUCGUCAGCUCGUGUCGUGAGAUGUUGGGUUAAGUCCCGCAACGAGCGCAACCCUUGUCUUCUGUUGCCAGCAUUAAGUUGGGCACUCUAAGGAGACUGCCUGGGUUAACCAGGAGGAAGGUGGGGAUGACGUCAAGUCAUCAUGGCCUUUAUGUCCGGGGCUACACACGUGCUACAAUGGUCGGUACAAAGGGCUGCGAACCCGCGAGUGGGAGCCAAUCCCAAAAAGCCGGCCUCAGUUCGGAUUGGAGUCUGCAACUCGACUCCAUGAAGGCGGAAUCGCUAGUAAUCGCGGAUCAGCACGCCGCGGUGAAUACGUUCCCGGGCCUUGUACACACCGCCCGUCACAUCACGAAAGCUGGCUGUACUCGAAGUCGCUGAG